UUAUAAGCCCUUUAGAUUUACAAGAUGGCGAUGGGUAGGCCAGACUCCCGCCAAGAUGCGAGGGCGCCAGCCGCGCGGCGAUUGGCUAGGACAGCUAGGUCGCGUGCAAAAAUUGACCAAUGGGGAGCCAUCCCCGGGGCGUGACGUCACCGGGCCAGCGGCGCCAGAGCCAGCAAGCGCCUAUCAGCUCAGAGUUUCCCGGACCGUCGUUGAGUGCAGACGUGCGCUAAGUGAGUUCUCCAAAUGUCUAGGUUGCAGAGGAUCAUCAGAGACCCGGCGUCUUGUAGCAGACAAUUUAAAGAAUGUUGAUGGUUUAAAUACUGGUGUGGGUGUAGUCUGGGACCACUACAUGACCCCAGACGGUUUACUGGUGUUCCUUCACUCUCAGGAGCAGAACCAGUUGUCUGCACUAGUCUCUUCUCUCCGUACCAGAAGUCCUCCUUCAGGUAAAAUGACUAGACAGUUGUCCAAAAACGCUAACCAGUUUCAAACGUUUCUUUCCAGUUCCGUGUUACUUAAAACGGGUCAGUCUUUAAGCGGCACCCUUGUCCUUCCAACCCCUUCCUGUAUGUAAGGUUCCCCAGCUUGUCUAGGCUUUAGACUACAGCAAACUCUACACUCCCUCCUGUGGAACACCUGGUAACAUGGUCAGCUGCAUGAUUGCAGCGUUACUGGAGUCUGGCAGAAUUAUAACAUUGCGACAGAUCAUGUUGGACCUCUCCAGUCACCUCUGAAGAUGAACACAGGGAAGGUUGCCAACCGUCUCCGGUAAUUAAGACAGAUAUAAAAGAAGGCAGACAAGAGGCACUACAGACGGGAGACAUGUCCCGUCACGCAGGGUGCAGUCGCACCUCCACAGAUCUCCAGUAUCAUCUAUUGAUACUGGUAAAGCUCAAAAGGGCCACCACUUACGGGCUAUUCAUGCCCGUGCCACCUUUUGGGUGGCUUAAUCUUCAUCAGAGGCACAACAGUGGCGUCUGCUGCUUGGUGUGAGGUGGACGUGCUGCUGCUGCUCCGCACUUGGUUCUUGCACGUGGCUGUUGCUGCAGCUGGAUAUUGUCACUGUGCCACAGACUGCUGCAGCUGGAUAUUGUCACUGUGCCACAGACUGCUGCAGCUGGAUAUUGUCACUGUGCCAUAGACUGUUGCAGUGAUACAGUGCCUUUGUGUGUCGAGGAAACGGCUAAGGCGGUCUGCGUAAAUGAGACAAUCCUACACUGGGCCAGAAGUAAGAGCGAAGAUGAGACAUGAUCCCAGGCUGUAUCUUGGUAAUAAACACAAACGGCCAAAUAUUCAGACCGGGACGUGACAGUGAAGAUUAAAUCCUGCCAAAUUAUCUUGCAGAGUUUUCUU